GACUCUACUGCAGACCCCCCAUGCACACACGCCUCUACGUUUUUUCAGGUGCUGUAAAGGAAGCCCAAUGCUCCCCACAUGUGGACAUCCCUGGCACGCGCCUGUGUGUGUGUGGGUGCACGGGUUACGCUAUAGCCCCUCCAAACACGGGCUGCUGGUGCGGGAGGGCCCCUCCCCACUCCAGGCCACCCGGUAACCAUGGCGACGGCAAAGAGGCGGGUGCCACGGUGGAAGGGCUGCGCGCGCUUGUGUCCGAGCGGGUGCGCGCCUCCGCAUCCAAGUCCUACUGGGCGCCGCCCUUCCCGCCCCCACCUAGGCGGAGCAGCCGUGCCCCCUCCCUGGACCCUGCGCCUCAGUUGGGGGGGUGCUCCCCCUUAGGCAUUCCAGCUCCACCAACGCAGCGCACCCAGCUCCCGCCUGCUAGGGUCCAGAACAGUGCAGAAGACUCUAAGUUGCCUCUGCAUAUCCAGUCCGCAGUGUCGGCCAGGUCCUCCACUGCACUGUUCCCAGAGCAGAAAGAGAAGUCCCUUAGCUUUGGGGGACUCUGGAGAGGGACCAACACAGUAGCCUAGACCUGGAUAGCCUCUAUACAUAAGUACCACACAUAAUCGAAAGUCUGCCCCUCCGGCACAGAUCUGUGCACCUAGAGUAAGCAUCCAAGUGGUUCAUGAAUGGCUCCUGUACCCAACUGGCCCUUCAGAUACUGCGGUUGAGAGACCCUUCCCUGGAGAGGUCCUGUUGUCUUACAGCUCAGAGAUGACAGGGCAUGUGGGAGGGCGUGUCUAAGGGGUGGGGUGGGGAGGAUACAAACGACAGAGACAGGGAGCAUGGUUGAUGUCCCUCAGCAGUAGAGUUAAUUACUAUAACUCCACCUCUCAUCUGCUAUCUUGGUGACUUCCUGGAGGAAGGAGGAUCAAGAAUGAUGCAAAGCAAAAAGCUUUCCUGCACACUGCCGGGUAAAGACUAUAGCCAGGAUGGAGGAAUACUAAACAGCAAGACUCCUGCAGGCAGAUCCAGAGGCGGCAUGCAGAGGUGUGGGAACACGGGUGCGAGGACAUGCAAAGUCAGACACACACAUGAAGAGACACACGCACCUGGAGACACAGUAAGACCAAACCCACAAACAAACCUCUGUGGGUGGCCAGGCCCCACCCUGCCCUUUGGCACUCCAAGGAAGCCCAGGGCCACCUCAGUUCAGCCCCCCAGAACAGCUCCAUCCUCAGCAGAGACAGGGUCAAGACAGAGCCCUCCCCAAACCUGUAAGCUCUCCCGCUCAGUGCCUAGCCUGCACCCCACCCCCAGGCUCCCAGGCGGUAAGGGGGGCCCAAGGGGCCUCAGCGCCCAUCUCCCUUCGCAGCUUUCAGUCUCGACUUUCAGCUGUUUUUCCAAGAGAAAACUCCCACCUCUUCCAGCACUCAGAUUUCAUCAAACUUGGCAUCUUAAAAGCCUGUUUUGUUUUUGAGUCUGAGCUGUUUGGGGCCUGUCGGCAGCCACGGCCUCCCCCACUCAGUAAUCCCCCCUCCCUUGGGUUUCCCUGGCACUCCACGGAGUCCUACUCAACCUGGCAGGUGAGGCCUCCCCACCGUGCGGACUGGACUCAGUGGACCUGAGAGCCACUGCCUGGUCCCCACACUCAGAUUCUGCUCAUGCUGGGCUCUCCCUCCUGAUGCCCCUCUACCCCAAGCCUGCUCAGGAAUUUUCUUUUUAGCCAUUUACCUCUCUAGGUUCAGCCCUUGCUCCCAGUCACUUCAGACCACUGACAGCCUCCCACUCGCUCUUCAGCCCCCUGCAGCCCUGCUGCCACCCCCGAGGCUUCCGGAAGCCUGUUCACCAAGGUCAGUGCCAACUGCAGAGCUAAAUCCAAAGGACACUGCCCAAUACUCAUCUUGCUUGGCUUCUCCUCCUUCAUACUCUUCCACUGCCUCCCCUGCUCUGGCUCCCCCUUAGCUCCCAGGAACCUCCUCCCAACAGUGAACGCCAGUUCCUGGGGAUCCUUUUGGCUUGGCUUCUUGGCUCUCACGAUUCCAUCUCCAGCCCCUCAAGAGUGCCAGGCAAACCCAUGUGAGGCCUUCUCACAUCUUUCCUUGGAUGCCUGCACACACCUGACUUGACAGACUUCAAAUCAGACUUAUCAACUCACCUCUUCAGUCCUGGGCCUCUUCCUGUAUUUCAAUCUUAGAUAGAAAAUUGGUUCCACUGUCUACCAGCCUUGAACCAGGAAUGCAGAGCCAACCACCCCUGGGGUGUCCCAGGCAGCUGGGCUGGAUGCUACCUGUCAUGCUCUUGAUCUAUCUCCCUUCCUCUUCUUUUCACAAGGUUCGGGUGAUGCUGGCUUUUGCUAGUUGGAUUGACUACACCUACCUCUCAUUGAUACACUUCCGCCCUACUUUGCAUCAACAAGGACUUCUCUGAAGCAUGAAUCUGCCCUUAGUAAGCCCUCUUCUCCCCUGGCAAUCAGGGUGAGGAGGAUACCUCACCACAGAUGGAGAAUAUACAUCCAGGGGUAUCUAAGACCUCCAACUUUGAGAGCUAUUUCUAGCGCUGCUGGUUCAGCCCAUGAUCAUAAGCUGGGCAGGGAGACGGGGGGGGGGGGUGGUGGUGUGGUGUGGUGUGUGUGUCAAAAAGCACAGAGCACAGAUGAGACACCUGUGAGCACGGGCGUGGGGAACUAGGUGGGCACAGGCCACAGCUCACAGAAGGGGACUCCGUUCAAAAGGAGUUCACUGAGCUCUUCGAAGACUCUCAGAACUGGAAACCAUGAGAGGAUUCCAGGAACCAAGAAACCCCGUGUCUGACCUUCCAGCUGCCUCUACUGCCCCACUCUACUGCCCCAUUCCAGAUGUGCCUUCCUACCCAAGACUAUCUCUGUCUGAACCUCCAAAAUCUGGCUAUAGUAUUUCAUAUCUUCAUGGUCCUGAGAUCUGUUGUGGUCACAGGAAAUGGAGGUUACGUCCUAAAGGCCACUGGACCAGAGGUAUAUCAGUGUCACUGCUGCCAGGGGAGAACAGGGGUUGCCUAGAAUUCUAGGUUUGGGACUUCCUGUAGUAGCUCUUUCACCCUCAUCUUUCCACCGAGAGUGAAAGGAAUAGAAAGGCUUAUGGUAGGAAAAAAGGUGGGGCAGGGAAAAAUGACCCCUAGGAAAGCACUCAUCCUGCCCAGCUCAGGACAGGGUCACCAUCAGUCUUUUCCUCUGGAGCUGCUUCCAAAGAUCAUAUGUGUGUGUUGGGGGAGGUGUGUGUUUGUGUGUGUAAGUGUGCGCGCACACUUGGGCGAGCGUGUGUGGCAAGAAGUUAUCUGUCACCCUAAAGCCUCAGAACCCACGAGGGUGAGAGCAAAUGCAGAACCCACGAUCCAGUGUUAACUGAAACGCCCUCUUUUGCCUGCUCUCCAGGUUAGGCAAUGUGAGACACUCUAGCUGGAUCCAGCCAAGUGGCAUAGGUGGUACAGUCUGGCCCACUUAGCAGACACAGAGCCCAAGAUGGAAGCAGGUAGAAGGACAAGUGUGUAGGUGGGGGGUGGAGAAGACAGAAGAAGUCCUAAAUCCUAAGGCCAGGUUUGGUCAGGACUCCUAGUGUGCCCUCCUCCUGGCUUGGUCACAGAGGAGCUGCUGAGUAUGAUGGCAGCAGAUGACAACAACACUCUAGCCCCAACCACACUGACCAGCAUUCGUUGUUGUCCGCUGUUCUGUGGGACCCCAGAAACAACAAAUCUGAAUACAGCACCUGACGUCCCACCAGCACCAGACUGACCCUACACAUCCAGCUCAGACUGCUGACUCUCUCGCUGUUCACAAAGCUAAGGUAUAAUACCACCUGCUGUACACCCGUAUCACACACUCACUCACACACACACUCACCCUAGAUACUACCUGCCAUGCACAGAUGCGUGCACAUGCACACAUCUCACUACUGCACAGAGCCCUUAAAGUACAUACCACCUGCUUACACAUCAUGCCCCUCCCCAGCUGCCUGAGGCACACUGCUGGUAUACACAUCCCUUCACACAUGCUCACACCACUGUAAGCACAUCAUCUUCUAUGUGCACGAAAUGACAAACAUCCAGCCCUUGAGCCCGGCCCCCAGGACAAGUCCUACUCCACUGCCUCUUGUCCCCAUCUUCCUUUGGGCAUUCGGUGUCCCUUCCAGAACUUACCCAGUCACUAGGGCUCCACCACAGCUUUGGCUGUCUAGCCUCCUCCCUGGAGUUCUCCCCAACCAUGGUUCUGCCUGGCCUGGACUCUGCAAACCCUGGGGACUCUAAUGACCUCCAAACUGAGCUCAACACCCUCACUAUCCCCCUCCACCUCGGAAGGGAAAGCCCAGAAUCAAGGCCUCACUCCCUUCCCCCACCCCUCCCCUCCCUUGUGAGGGAAAAUGUCAGAUUCCCUGUCUCAGUGGCGGCAGCGGGCGGGUUGGAGGGGGAAUGAUUCAGCCGCCGCCUCAAGAGUGCCGAGCGAGAAGAGCUUUUCCUGCCAUUACCCGGCGAGGGAGAGGCUGGCGCGCUAAUGGCUUCAAUUACCACUCAGACAGGAACGCUGGGCGGCAGGGCCCUGGUACUCAUCACAGCCCAGGACAGGACAGGCCCAGCCCCAGCCAGCUUGUGCUGGACACCCCACCUUGCACCCUGACAGGGAUGUUGGCACACCGGCUGGCCAUCCCAGCAUAGUGGGCUAGGUCUCACAAGCUGCACCAGCAGCGGCAGAGUACGGAGACUCGUGGGGGACCUGGCAAUGGUGGUGUCCCCAGAGGCUGCAGUGAGAGUGGACUGAGCUGGGCCUGGGGUGGUAGGAGGAAGGGCAGAAGGCCCCAAAGGAAGUAUAAUACUGGGGUUCCCUUUUGAAGACACACUGCUCCUGCACCUGGGCCAGGUUCCCCAGGCAUUACCCAGGAACUCCCCAAAGCACCUGUCUCCUGAUGCACAGGCGGGCACAUGUGUGUGAGACGUGAGAGCAAAGCAACCAGGCACUAUCUUUCAGCCCCUAAGCCAAGUUUAUCUCUCACUACUAGGAUUCUAUGGUAGUCUCUCCAUAGAAAAUGGCCCUGGCUCUCCCCUCGUGUCAACCCCAGAGCUCCAAAAAAAAAAAAAGCCAUCUUUUCAUCUAUUGCAGGCAAGCACCCCAGCUUUCCUGCCCCCCACCCCAGAAGAACAGGGAGGAAAUGAGGCAGGGUUGCUUUAGGCUGCCUCUCCGUGGUCUUAUCCCCUGUGACAUUCCUUUCUGCCAAGCCUUAAGCUGGUCAAGGUUACAAAGACAACAGGACAGGUCAGCACUUUUGCCUCGCUGGUGCAAUAUCUCAGGAGCAGGAGGGGCCCACGAAGCCCACAAUUCCAACCACUCUGGUGUAGUAGGGACCUGUCUGUCUCACACAUCAUCAGACAUCUUCCAGUUCCCAGAUGCAUCAACAUAUAGCCUGAAGCCCAGGUCUGGGGAUAAAAGUCCAUGUCUAGUACCGGGGUCCAUCCCAACACCACAUAAGAAAGAACACCCUCUAAUCCAUGGAAAGAAACUCUUGACCAGGAAGGCCGUUUCUAAUGGCAACCCUAUGCCAAGUGUGAGUUCUCUUCCCCGGGCCUUGAGAGACCCUUUAAAGGGUAAAGUUGACAGGGCAGUGGGAUGUCUUAGAGGAAUCAGCUCUCCAGUCUCACAAGGAGACUACUCCCUAGCCGGAGAGCCUCAGAGGUUGCCCGCCAUGAUAGGGAUUAUAGUUCUAGUCUUUUAGACUCCACUCCAAUACAAGGCAGGGUACAUGACUCUCACACCAACAGGUGAAAUCCUUUCUCCUGGGUCACAAAUUGGAGGUCAGAAAUGACCAGAAGGAACCUCCAAGCCAGUGGUUUCAGCUCAGACCUGGUUGUCUGGCCCCCUGUCCCCAAAUGGAACGGACAGCAGGGCUAGCACAACCCAGUGACACCAAGCAGCAGCGGCUCAGGUUGUCUACGCUUCAGAAUGGACUCUGAGAUCCUGGGCUACAGGGAAAGCUCCACACUAGCUUGGACUGUGGGUACGAUGUCCUGGAUCCCGGUUGGAACAAAUGAGGCCCAGCGUUCCUGUCUACAGGGGAGGGCCGCACACAGCUCUAUUAGAACCCACUGAUUCACACGAGACACACAGAUGCAAGAAUUACUGAAUGGAUGCAUGUGUGAACACAUAAAGCCAAAGCAUAAAAAUGGCCAAUGUGAAAAGAUGUUCCACUGCUCUUGUAAUCAAAGAAAUGCAAAUUAAAUUGAGAUGCCAUUUUUUGCCUAUUAA